GACGUAGGGCGCGAGCGUUGUCCGGAUUUAUUGGGCGUAAAGAGCUCGUAGGCGGCUUGUCGCGUCGACUGUGAAAUCCCGCGGCUCAACUGCGGGUCUGCAGCCGAUACGGGCAGGCUAGAGUUCGGUAGGGGAGACUGGAAUUCCUGGCGUAGCGGUGAAAUGCGCAGAUAUCAGGAGGAACACCGGUGGCGAAGGCGGGUCUCUGGGCCGAUACUGACGCUGAGGAGCGAAAGCGUGGGGAGCGAACAGG
rnacentral:rRNA from 1 species